rnacentral:sRNA from 1 species
CGACUGUGCCUUUCAGGCAUCCUCUCCUAAAACUUUUCAAGGGUCGGUUCGCCGGCCCUUUUUUUUGUGCCCG